ACUCAAAUGAAUUGACGGGGGCUUGCACAAGCGGUGGAGCGUGUGGCUUAAUUCGUCGCUAAGCGAAGAACCUUACCAGGGCUAGAAAUCCUACUGCACGCCUAUCGAAAGAUAGGAAGCCUUCGAGGGUGUAGGACAGGUGAUGCAUGGCUGUCGUCAGUUCGUGGUUUGAACCGUUCCCUUCAGUGGGGUAACGAACGCAACCCUCGUUGCCUGUUACACGUAUCAGGCGAGACUGCCCCCUCACGGGGGAGGAAGGUGAGGAUGACGCCAAGUCAGCAUGUCCCUCUGAUGCCCUGGGCUGCACACGCGCUACAAUGGCCGUUACAACGAGGCGCAAUGGGGCAACCCGGAGCAAAUCUUUAAAAGCGGCCUCAGUUCGGAUUGGGGUCUGCAACCCGACCCCAUGAAGCUGGAAUCGCUAGUAAUCGCGGAUCAGCCACGCCGCGGUGAAUACGUUCUCAAGCCUUGUACACACCGCCCGU
rnacentral:rRNA from 1 species